ACAUUUUCUAGGGUCAGGAUGGUCCGGAAAUUCUCCACUCCCAUGAGCCCAGAUUCUGAACGCUUGGUCCCCUGCUGGUGGCACUAUUUUGGGAGGCUGUGGUCUUUUGGGGACAAGGUCUUAGUGGUGGGAGUAGGUCACUAAAGGGCAACACUGCUUCCUGGACCCCAACCGAGUGUCAACAAAACAACAUGCAGUAUCAGCCGCCAUCUGCGGCAGGACCACUGUGUCUAACUUCUAAAGGCGGUUACUCUCCAGGCCCUCAGGGCUUGUAUUUCGGGCAGCCCUCACUAAACAGAACAACGGCGCCAAGACUAACGUGAUGCUCUUCCCACCUCACACCACCAUUAGUGGUAUUAGAAUUUCUGCCUUUGAGUUUCCAUGAACGAAUAUGGAAAAUCUCCUAAAACAGUGUCGGAAGUACCAGGAUUGCAGAAAGGAACACAGGAGUCAUCACAGCACAAUUAUGACGUUCAGUGUGACUGGAUCAUUUGAAGCAAUUCCCGAAGGAACAGACAGCUCAAGAACACCGCAUCCUGGAGCGGACGUCUCUGGGCAGAGUCCAGGCGCCACCACUCCUCCUGGAUGAAGUUCACAGUCACAUCAUCAAAUGACACUCAUCUCUGAAACAUGAAUGCUGGGGUUGAAGAUUGCAGGGCUGGGCUGGUACACUCAUCAGGACGCCUCACUGGGCUUAUUAUAAACACCCAUUUCGCGUUCCAGUCU
rnacentral:lncRNA from 1 species